CAGCCGCCACGGGAAUACGGAGGGUGCAAGCGUUAAUCGGAAUUACUGGGCGUAAAGCGCACGCAGGCGGUUUGUUAAGUCAGAUGUGAAAUCCCCGAGCUUAACUUGGGAACUGCAUUUGAAACUGGCAAGCUAGAGUCUUGUAGAGGGGGGUAGAAUUCCAGGUGUAGCGGUGAAAUGCGUAGAGAUCUGGAGGAAUACCGGUGGCGAAGGCGGCCCCCUGGACAAAGACUGACGCUCAGGUGCGAAAGCGUGGGGAGCGAACAGGAUUAGAUACCCGAGUAGUCCCUGUCUCUUAUAC
rnacentral:rRNA from 1 species